UUUUAAUGACUUAAUCCAAAACUCAACUGUCACACCCCAAAACCAAGAACGGCGGAAACGUUCCGGGUUGGAGGACGUCAUGUGAAGUAUCAUAACAGUGUAAAGUAGUAAUAAAGCAACAAAAUCAUCCAUUGCAUUAAAAGUAAAGUUUUAAUACAUGUGUGUUCUUUCAUAAUGUAAAACAAUAAAAUGAAUAAUCAAAAUAAGACGAGUCUUGUCUGUGAUCCGUCUUCUCAAAACUUGGCCAUCGUACCUGUCUAACCGGUGUCCUGAGAAUACAAGUUAUUUUGAAAGCGAGUAUCAGCCUAAAGCUGGUGAAUUCAUAAGUAUUUAAGUGUCAUUGUCUUGUUUUGGAAAGCUGUUCUGAAUGCCAUGUAAUUCUUUAAAUGAAACAAUUGAUAUAAGUAUGAGAAACCCUAGAAAAUCCCAUAUUUCCUACUAGUAUGAAAUGUAGUCUUCUACCAAGACCCGAAUGUUUUGUUAUGACAAUGUAGUCUUCUACCAAGACCCGAAUGUUUUGUUAUGACAAUGAUAGUUUUUCCUUCUUUUUGACUAUUACAAAGAGUACUUAGUCUAACUCAUCGUUUAUGUGAAUGUAUCACAAAAUAAAGUAAAUAUGAAAAGAAUAUAAUAGUCUUCUACCAAGACCCGAAUGUUUUGCUAUCAUAAUGAUAGUUUCUCCUUCUUUUUGACUAUUACAAACAGUACUUAGUCUAACUCAUCGUUUAUGUGAAUGUAUCACAAAAUAAAGUAAUAGGAAAAAUAUAAUCAUGUAAGUGUUAUCCUUUUGUAUUAGGAUUAACACGACAUUGCAAUUUGCUAAAUGUAUAACCUUUGAACAUCCGUAGACUGUUCAAUUGUCCUCUGUAGCUACAACAGGUGGGAGGAAGGGUUAGUCCCGUCAACGUAUUCCUAAUAUAAGUAUUAACUGUAGGCAUCCGUAGAUGUUCUUCAACCUCUGUAGCGAACAGUAGGCUCGUGGAAUGGUUAGUCCCAUAAAAGUAUUCUAAUAUAAGAAAUAACCGUAGGCAUCCGUAGAUGUUCAUCAACCACUGGUGCUAACAGCUGGGCUUCAGAAUGGUUAGUCCCGUCAAGAUAUCCCGUUAAACUGGGAUAGGCAGGACAAUUUACACAGAAGGUACUAAUAAAUCAUCCUAAUGAAUCGAGGUACAAGUAUCCAUCUAAAUGUAUACAGGAAAAUGUAUCUACGUAAAGGUACUCAUGUAAUGUAUUCAUGUAAGGUACUUAUGUAAGUGUAUCCAUGUAAGCGUAUUCAUGUAACAUGUAAUGUAUAGUGUAGACUUAUGAAUGAACUGACUCUGAUGUAAUUCCUUGUAAUAGGAAUAAUGUUAUGUAUCUCCUAACUAUCCCUAUAAUAGUUAACUGGAAGGUAAUUGAUUGUCCAGAUAGGUUUAUACACCCUUGCUACACAAGAGUGUGGGUAACUGAAUGAAGGAUGAAAACUAUAACAUCAAUACAUAUAAAAGAAGAUAAGUGUAUAGAUAUAGUUUUGUUCAAUAAGGUAAAAAUGGUUUUGUAAGACAUCUAAGAGUUUUGAACAAUAAUUAACAAUGACUUGAUGUCAUUUUAUUAAACAUUUCAAACGUAAUACUUUUGCUAUCAAGGUAUUUUUAAGAUAUAAAACCAUUUCAUGCAUCACAUUUUGUAGUAUGUGAAAUCUGCUGAAUGAAAACACAGUUAUAAAUACAUAUGAUUGAUUUAAUAACAUGUUGUUUUCUACCUGUAUUCCCCCCCCCCCAUUUAAAGCAUUUAAACUCAUUUAAAACAUUGAUUAAGGGGUAUGAACUCACCUGUAGAUGGUGGUUUGGAUGUACUGAAUGAUGUAGGGUAGCUAGGUGACAAGUAAAGACUUGUUCACACUCAAUGAUCCUAGUUAACAUAUAAUAACAUAUAUAUGUAUCAAAUUAGACUUUAAACCAUUAAUUGACAAAGUUAAGACAUCCUAAGGCAUGUAAAACACCUUAUUUAGGUGCUACAAGUCAUAAGGAUUGCAUCUAUGUGCUAAAGGACCUUGCUAUAGUGUUUGGGGUUCAAGGGUAAACUCCCUUGGAGUUUACGGUUUUCAUGACUUUGACCUAAUGAGUUUAUGGUUGUAAACUCAAGAGUUUACGGUCAUAAAAUCCUCUUUUUUUUUUACCAUAAGUUGGUUUGAGGUUUUGCAUGUCCUUUGAAGCAUUUCUACUUGGUGGUUUGGCCUUUGGAAGAGAUUAGGGCAUCAUUGCACUCCUUUGAGGAGUUUACGGCCUCAUGGUCAUUUCUCUUUGGGUUUACUACCUUAAACUCAUGAGUGUACUACCAUAAACUCAUGAGUUUACUACCUUAAACUCAUAAGUUUUGUAUUUAGGGGUUUUCAAGUCCUUAGCUCAAUCAUGGCAGUAGUCUAGGUUAGAUUUAGGCAUAAGGAAUAACCAUUGGACUUUUAUGGGACUUUUAUGCACUUUUUGGGGUGUUUACGGUUUUGGGAGAUCCCCAAACCGUAAAACCAAAAAAAUGGAAGUAUUUGGUGCUGUUUGUGUGAUAAACUCAUCAAGGUUGAAGCUAGACAAGUCCCUAAGGCAUGGUGAAGCAUCUAGGCACCUAAAGGCACCACUUUGCACCAUAAAUGGUGUUUAUGGUUUUGGUAGCCUCCCAAAACCGUUAACACCUUGAUCUUGGUGUUCCUGGAACUUUUCUUUGAUGUUAAUAUGUAAUACAAGCUUAAGAAGACUCAAGGAUGGAAGUACUUACUAUAAGGAAGCUUGGAUUUAGCUAAAAGUCCAAGAACACUUAGUGUGUGUUCUUGGUGUUUUUGGAAAUCUAAUCAAAAUACAUAAAUGAAUGGAUGAAUAGAUGCACAAACACUAGAUUAAGUAUUAAACCAACUUGAAAUGGUUAGAACACUUACUAGUUUGAAGAUCUAGAACAAAAUCUAGCAUGAUACUUGAAAGGAUAUUAUGAGUUUACUCUUUUGGGGAGUAAACACAUUAUAACUAGACUUAGGGAGUAAACUCAUGGAUAAGCAUGAGUUUACGGAUUUUGGGAUGAUUUUUUGACCCAAACAAAAUAGUUUGGCCGGGAACUUCUAAGACGCGAGUUGUUUGCGGUUUUUAAAAUUCAAAACCCGAGACAACACUUUCUUUCACCCGUUUGUUUAAAAAUAAUAUUAAAAUAAUCAAACAAACUUUAUUUUUCCCAAAAACAAGUAAAAGUGAACUUGACUUAUAAUAUGAAGUGAUUGACUUUUAGGGUUUGACCGAAUGAAAAUUCUGGGUUGUCACAUCAUCCCCCUGUUAAAGGGAAUUUAGUCCCGAAAUUAGAAUUUAGGUAAGGAAGUAGGCAUGAAUGAUCGAGUCAUGAGGUGUGAACUUCCUAAUCGAUUGGUUCUUGUGCUCCUAAGUGAAACUGGGUCCUCGGUUGGUAUUCCAACGAACCUUCAUUAACGGGCGAUGGCGUUGCUUCUUCCGCUUCACCUCUCGGUCUAGGGUAACUACAGUUUUCAAUACGAAGGCGAGGAUCUCGUUAAUCUCGAUCUCGUCGAGUGGCUUACGAGAGUCCUAACGGAAAGGUACGUUUUGAAGAUCGAGACGCGAAGAGUAAAAAUGUACGUUACUGAGUUCACAGAACAGGUCUAGUUUGUGAGAUACAGGACCGAUUCUGGUAAGAAUCUCUGAGGUCCUAACUAUAUCGGAUUUAGCUUUCCACGUUUUACAAAGCGUAUCAAGCCAUUCCCAGAGUGAGAUUUCCUAAAGAAUUUGGUCUCUCACUUGGAAUUCCAAAGGUUCUUUCUCUUACUUAUCUUCCCAGUCAAGGGCCACCCCUUGCUGGGUCAAAGUCGAAAGGGUUUCUGUGAUUUGCGAGGAGUUUUGAAUGGACUACGAUAGUGGGUCUGCACGACCUAGAAUUUGACGAAUUUCUGUCGGUGUCUCUGGUGUUGGAAAGUUCUCAUUUCAAAACUCGUGUUUAGAGAACUUCGCGAAAGUCCCUCUGAAGGUAAUGUUUGCAUGGGUUCCUUCUUACUGCGAGGGUAGAUAAGUAAGUCAUUACAUGGAGAAAUGACGAACUGAUCCUAGUAAGAAAGAUGUACCCUACUCAUUUAGCUCAUGAAUACUAUGGGCGUAUUGGUCCUAUCCGAGGGGUAUCACUACAGACUCGAAGUGUCCGCAUCGAGUUCGGAGGGUAGGUCUUCAGGACAUCCUUCCCUAACACUCGAACUGGUGAUAUUCGGAUCUCAGGUCCAUUUCUGAAAGUAAUUAUUUCCUAUGAUUUAUAGUGGAAUUCUCGACGGAGUCCUCGAUAGCCGAGGUACAUAUGAUGCAAUCCGUCGACUUCUGGAAGAAUAAGACCGGAGCUCGCAAGGGUGAGAAGCCUGGUCUUCCAAUUCUAUUGCUGCAUAGUUCUCUGAGUUGUCUGGGCUGUUCUAGUAUCUCCGUAGGUGUUUAGACUGAAGGCGAUCUGGUUAUAAGAGUCAUACUGAGUUCUAAGUUUGUUCACAUGCCAAUGCAAUUACUCGUAGUCUUGGGCUGUCUCCGUCCUGAAGUUCAUAUUAGAAUUCAUACAUGGUUCAAUGAUCACAAUCUCAUGUAUACGAGUCGUAUAUAAUUAAGACUAAAAAGGUAGUCGAAUAACUGAUUCUUCCUUAAGCUCACAUCCCAUCGAGGGAAAAGAAGUUAAAGUGGAAUCAUCAAUUCUAAACCUGUAGAACAUUGAUUAUAUAUCACUCUCAUGUAUACAUUCUUCAGUGAUAGAUCAACCGUAUGAAUCUUUAGAUUGAACUUGACGUACUGCACGAGUGAUACUGCGGGGACUCCUUCUGAAAGGAAAAGAACUAUAAGGUACUCCAUGCAUGAGUACUUAUGAUAUGACAGCUUCGCUAAAAUACGUUUACUAUGAAAGAGAUGUACUGAUGAAGCUGGUAUUGCGAGGAUCAAAUUUACUCGAGUCGUAUGAUAAAGUUAGAAUUAUAUGGAAACUAAAGACAUUAGAUUUGAACAUAAGGCGUUACAGACCAAAACACAACAGUGCAACCUUUAACAGAGUUACUGAACUUUUAGAUUUACUAUAAGACUAUUGCUGUGAACUAGGUAUACUACAAAAGACAAGUAUACGCAGCACGAGCAUCCCUAAAUGGACGAGAUCUCGCAAAAGAUAAGACUCUGGUUGCACUAGUUUGGGUAGUUUAUAAGUCUGUUACAAAGAAACGCCUUAAUUACAUUAACGUGGAUCCGGAGUAGUCUCUCUUGCGGCGGUGGUCGGUAGCAUACUUCUGUAUGUGCCAGCAUUUGCUGCCUCUAGGCAGUCCCUUCUGUAGUGACCUACCUUGCCACAACCGUAGCAAGCCUGGUUUACACUGGUGUUGGGCAUUUGGUUGUUCGGCCUUGUUAGGCUCUUACAGUAACGCUUGGUGUGCCCCUUUCUGUUGCAGUUUGAGCACUGCAUCUCCCUACAAGGUCCAUGGUGGUGACAACUGCAUUGGAUGCAUUUUGGGAGACUUCCAGCAUAUUUCCUAGCUGGGUUAGGGACAACUGGGAUACCCGAAGGGAUGGUAGUAUGAGGUACCGAUGUCGUGGCUGUGAAGGUUGUUAUUGAUGGUUAUUUCUUGUUCGCCCUUCGAAGCGAUUUGUCCUUAGAUUUAGCCCAAGCCUUCCAUUUGUUACACUUGGUCUUGGGACUCGGGGUGACGUGGUAGUUUGCUGCUCGUUGAGGUAGUUGAUUGUUACCUGGAUUAGAAUUGUUGUUAACAAUCCCGCUAACAUUUGCAUUGUUAGCGUUAAGGUGGGUCAGAAUAGCUGACAUGACAGCCGAGACUGCAGCUUGAAAGGUAGCUGCAUCAAUCUGAAGAGUUGGUGUUUGGUUGAGGGAUUGAUUGUCUUUCCGUGGCGACAUGAUUCUGUUACACUGAAAGAAAAUGAAUUUGUGAGCGAGAAUGGUUGAACCUAGACGUUGUUCGAUCGCUCAUGUAAAGUAUAGAAGUAUGUUCUCUAAGGUUCGACCUACAUCCCUAUGAUGCAGUCCUUGUACGGAAAUGGAAGCAUGUUCACGAAGGUUUAACCUACAUCCCUAUGAUGCAGUCCUAGAAAAAGUGGAAGUAAGGUCAUACAAUGGUCUCAAGACGUUUGUCGUUCGAGCCGAGGUAUCGUUGGUUGGUGAAUAACAUGAUCCAACCAUUAAGAGAGACUUGGAGAUGUCUCCGGAGUCAAAUUGCUAUAGUCCAACUUGACUAGAGCAUGUUUCAGAUAGAAUCUAAUGAAAGUAUGAUAAGAGUAUUUGAAUAAAGAAUGACACAGAAGUUAGCCGACUGUUAAUAUCUUUGAUAUUCAUGACGUACAAGUUCGGGAAAAUGACCUUGUAAAAAGGUCUUACAUCAUAUCCAGAGAAGAUAGUUCUUGACAGCAUAAAGACCUAACCAAAAGUACUUAUAGUACAAGAUAGUUUCAUAGAAAAUGCCACAUCGGGCAUAGACAGAAACACGCUUCCUUUCUAACAAGGAAUAUAAAGUAAAGUAUCUACUACUAGCGACGGUCAUCCCUCUGGUGAACUUCUCAGUUCAGCCAGUUGGCGUUCCACAUCAAGUAGGUGUCUUUCGUACACCCUCUGGCGUACUCGAAGUUCUAUGACUUCGGCUCGUGAUUCAGCCAGUGCUUGCAGCAGGGUUUCAUGGUUUCUCUUAGAUCUCUCACGAGCAUCUUCUAGACGAAUGGUACGGAGAGUAUGCAUUCUCGCAUCUGCGACAACUUCAAUGAUCUGUUGUAGGGUUGUCCUGCCUUGAAUCUCAUUUCGGGCCACUCUACGGACCAAGACUGGCAAGAUUCUGUCUGCAGAGCCCCCCUUGCUCAGGUCAUAGAAGCUUCAGUUACCAUUAAAUGGCAUGGGUUGAUCUUGUCCUUGGCUCCAUGUUUCCAAACAUUCCACCCACUCAGGCGUCAGGCCAUGAAAAGCCGGACGAGGGUUAUGAAUUGGAAAGGGAGCUAUCUGGGGUAGGUUCUCAACCUCGGGUUCGGAGUUAGCACCGUCAGAGAGAUCUUCAUCAUGGUGAUCAUUCACGGGGAUAGGAUGAUCAUUCUCUGGCUCUUCUUCAAACCAUCCAGCAAUGACCUCGUUCGGAAGGUACGGGUUGCCGUGGGGAUGGAGUCCAGCCAUGUUAUCUACGUGAGAAUUGGCGUAAGAAAAUAAUUAUUAGACGAACUAUCUAGAUAAUUAUUAGAAAAUAUUCAUUAGUUAUAUCGCUAUUUGUAAAGUGCAUACUAGUUAUAUGUAAUCAACACAGGAUAGGCCUUCGAAUAAGUGACCUUAACUCCAAAGUCACAAGGAAUAGGGGUAAAACAAAAAUUUCACCGAUUCUAAGUCUAUAACAUCCUAGUUACAUAUAGCCUUAGUGUAUCCACUUAGCAACUAUCAACUUAGUAAUGAAGAUCCUUUUUAGUUCUCAAGUAAGUAAUUAUGGUAAUACAAAACACCCCUAUGGUAUUUUAGACUUUGGUUCUGUUAUAAUGUUCUCAUUGUGGUAAUGUUGGUAAGUUUUUAGACUUGUUGCCAUAUCACAACCAUUCUUGGGCAGAUGCUAAUCACUCCUCGGACCAGUAUAGUUGAUCAGGCUAUGCUACUCCCAAUACUGACCAUACAUCCCCAGGCUUACUUGUGAUAUUCAACAAUCGUAAUACUUUUGUUCUUGUCAUUGUGACACUGAUUUUAGUAUGAAUGCAGACACGUAUACUUACUUAAAUAAUUUAUUAUUUAAAAGUAUAACUCUUAGACAGAGUGUUUUAAUCCCAUGUAUUUAUAGUUAGUAUAUCUUUUAUGUGUUGAUAUACUUAAUUCACUAUAAACAGUGCUCUGAUACCAAUUUGUCACACCCCAAAACCAAGAACGGCGAAAACGUUCCGGGGUGGAGGACGUCAUGUGAAGUAUCAUAACAGUGUAAAGUAGUAAACAAGAAACAACAUCAUCCAUUGCAUUAAAAGUAAAGUUUUAAUACAUGUGUGUUCUUUCAUAAGGUACAACAAUAAAAUGAAUAAUCAAAAUAAGACGAGUCUUGUCUGUGCUCCGUCUUCUCAAAACCUGGCCAUCGUACCUGUCUAACCGGUGACCUGAGAAUACAAGUUAUUUUGAAAGUGAGUAUCAGCCUAAAGCUGGUGAAUUCAUAAGUAUUUAAGUGUCAUUGUCUUGUUUUGGAAAGCUAUUAUGAAUGCCAUGUAAAUCUUUAAAUGAAACAAUUGAUAUAAGUAUGAAAAACCCUAGAAAAUCCCAUCUUUCCUACUAGUAUGAAAUGUAGUCUUCUACCAAGACCCGAAUCUUUUGUUAUGACAAUGUAGUCUUCUACCAAGACCCGAAUGUUUUACUAUGAUAAUGAUAGUUUUCCUUCUUUUUGACUAUUACAAACAGUACUUAGUCUAACUCAUCGUUUAUGUGAAUGUAUCACAAAAUAAAGUAAAUAGGAAAAGAAUAUAAUAGUCUUCUACCAAGACCCGAAUGUUUUGCUAUGAAAAUGAUAGUUUUUCCAUCUUUUUGACUAUUACAAAUAGUACUUAGUCUAACUCAUCGUUUAUGUGAAUGUAUCACAAAAUAAAGUAAUAGGAAAAAUAUAAUCAUGUAAGUGUUAUCCUUUUGUAUUAGGAUUAACAUGACAUCGCGAUUUGCGAAAUGUAUAACCUUUGAACAUCCGUAGAUUGUUCAAUUGUCCUCUGUAGCUACAACAGGGCGGAGGAAGGGUUAGUCCCGUUAAGGUACUCCUAAUAUAAGUAUUAACCGUAGGCAUUCGUAGAUGUUCAUCGACCUCUGUAGCGAACAGUAGGCCCGAGGAAUGGUUUGUCCCGUAGAGGUACUCCUAGUAUAAGUAAUAACCGUAGGCAUCCGUAGAUGUUCAUCAACCACUGGUGCUAACAGUUGGUAAGUUUUUAGACUUGUUGCCAUAUCACAACCAUUCUUGGGCAUGUGCUAAUCACUCCUCAGAACAGCAUAGUUGAUCAGGCUAUGCUACUCCCAAGACUGACCAUACAUCCCCAGGCUUACUUGUGAUAUUCAACAAUCGUAAUACUUUUGUUCUUGUCAUUGUGACACUGAUUUUAGUAUGAAUGCAGGCACUUAUACUUACUUAAAUAAUUUAUUAUUUAAAAGUAUAACUCUUAGAGAGAGUGUUUUAAUC
rnacentral:lncRNA from 1 species